GUACUCUCUUUGAUAGCAUAUAUACCAAAAUUGGAACAAAACAGACAAUUUGCAUGACCUCUGGGCAAGGAUGACAUGCAGAUUCAUGAAGCAGUCCAUAUUUUU
rnacentral:snRNA from 1 species